UCCGUAGCUUACCAGGCUCCAGGAUUCUCUCGCCCCUCUACUCAUGCCGGUACUUCUAUCCAUGGUCGAGGCAGACGUGUCGAGGUCGUGUCUGUGGAUUUGAUCUUAUAUCUCCUCAUCAUAUCUUUGACUCUUCAGAUUCUGAUCCCUCUAGCCAUGAUAUCUAUUAGAUCUAGAAUAGUUAUUUUUUUUUAUUUUUGCCUAAGAUCUAUCUUAUGGCCUUUGUAUUUUGUUGGCUGAUUGACUCUUGGAUAGUUGUUAUCUAUGAUUUUUGUAUGAUCUAUGUAUUUUGACUUAAUGUAUUCAAUUACAUUUUGAUAUAUAUAUAUUUUUUUAUGCUUUAAAUUUCAAUGAAUGUCUUUGGAUUAAUGUUUAUGAAUGGGAUCAAUUAAAAUAUUUUAAUUAUAAGAUAUGAAAAAUGACUCAUAUAUGUGUGAUGAAAUAUCAUGAAUAGCAAUAUCUUCUAAAUGAGCAAAUUGAUAUAUCUUUUAUUAUUGCUAUAGUGAGGGGGAGU
rnacentral:lncRNA from 1 species